AGUGAACGCUGGCGGUAGGCCUAACACAUGCAAGUCGAACGGCAGCACAGUAAGAGCUUGCUCUUACGGGUGGCGAGUGGCGGACGGGUGAGGAAUACAUCGGAAUCUACUUUUUCGUGGGGGAUAACGUAGGGAAACUUACGCUAAUACCGCAUACGACCAACGGGUGAAAGCAGGGGAUCUUCGGACCUUGCGCGACUGAAUGAGCCGAUGUCGGAUUAGCUAGUUGACGGGGUAAAGGCCCACCAAGGCGACGAUCCGUAGCUGGUCUGAGAGGAUGAUCGGCCACACUGGAACUGAGACACGGUCCAGACUCCUACGGGAGGCAGCAGUGGGGAAUAUUGGACAAUGGGCGAAAGCCUGAUCCAGCCAUGCCGCGUGGGUGAAGAAGGCCUUCGGGUUGUAAAGCCCUUUUAUUGGGAAAGAACAGCAGCAGGUUAAUACCCCGAUGUUUUGACGGUACCUAAAGAAUAAGCACCGGCUAACUUCGUG
rnacentral:rRNA from 1 species